rnacentral:rRNA from 1 species
UACGUAGAAGACUAGUGUUAUUCAUCUUUAAUAGGUUUAAAGGGUACCUAGACGGUAUAAUUAGUCUAAAAUAAGAUACGGUUAUACUAGAGUUAUAUAUGAGAAGGUGAGUAUUUAUGGAGUAGAGUUGAAAUUCGUUGAUCCAUAACGACUGGUAUCGGCGAAAAGCAACCUUUUAUCUAAUAACUGACGUUUGAGGGACGAAGGCUCGGGUAACGAACAGG